UACGAAGGGUGCUAGCGUUGUUCGGAAUUACUGGGCGUAAAGCGCGCGUAGGCGGCGACCCAAGUCAGGGGUGAAAUCCCAGAGCUCAACUCUGGAAUUGCCUUUGAAACUGUGUCGCUAGAGUGUCGGAGGGGAUAGCGGAAUUGCUAAUGUAGAGGUGAAAUUCGUAGAUAUUAGCAGGAACACCGGUGGCGAAGGCGGCUAUCUGGACGACAACUGACGCUGAGGCGCGAAAGCGUGGGGAUCAAACAGG
rnacentral:rRNA from 1 species